UACGUAGGGUGCGAGCGUUGUCCGGAAUUAUUGGGCGUAAAGGGCUCGUAGGCGGUUUGUCGCGUCGGGAGUGAAAACUCAGGGCUUAACCCUGAGCCUGCUUCCGAUACGGGCAGACUAGAGGUAUGCAGGGGAGAACGGAAUUCCUGGUGUAGCGGUGAAAUGCGCAGAUAUCGUAAGGAAGACCGGUGGCGAAGGCGGUUCUCUGGGCAUGUCCUGACGCUGAGGAGCGAAAGUGUGGGGAGCGAACAGG
rnacentral:rRNA from 1 species